rnacentral:rRNA from 1 species
AUUGAACGCUGGCGGCAGGCCUAACACAUGCAAGUCGAACGAGUGGCGGACGGGUGAGUAAUGUCUGGGAAACUGCCUGAUGGAGGGGGAUAACUACUGGAAACGGUAGCUAAUACCGCAUACCAUCGGAUGUGCCCAGAUGGGAUUAGCUAGUAGGUGGGGUAAAGGCUCACCUAGGCGACGAUCCCUAGCUGGUCGGAGAGGAUGACCAGCGACACUGGAACUGUUCCGCGGUCCAGACUCCGACGGGAGGCAGCGGUGGGGAAAAGUGCGCAGUGGGCGCAAGCCUGAUGCAGCCAUGCCGAGUGUAUGAAGAAGGCCUUCGGGUUGUAAAGUACGUUCAGCGGGGAGGCGUUACCCGCAGAAGAAGCACCGGCUAACUCCGUGCCAGCAGCCGCGGUAAUAC